rnacentral:lncRNA from 1 species
GGCUUACUUAACAGUUUAGUAAUGCUUAACAGUUUAUUAAGGGUUUAACAAAUUUAGUUAUAGAGUUUAGGGUUUACGAGUUCAGUUGAGGGUUUAAUAGUUUACUAUCAGAAUUCAUAAAGAAGAUAGAUUAUUAAGGGUACUAUUAGAAAGUAGACAGCCUAUUAAGGGGUUAACUUUAACAGUUUAUAAGGGUUUAACAAUUAGGUAGAGAGUUCAUGGGUUAUGAGUUCAAUUGAAGACAGUAUAAACUUGGUUCAGGCUGUUAACAAUCUAAUAUAACACUUCUAAGUUCUAAACAAGUUCUAAAACUCUCAAAUGUUAUACCAUUACACAAUGUAAGCUUACCUCAGCAGUUGUAGAAACAGAUUGUUGUCUUGCCUCCUGAACAACGAUUUCAAAGUUCCACCCUGCCUCCUAAUUAGCACCAACUGUGUGACUUCCUCCUAAGCAGAAACAUACAUUUUAUUAUAAUACUGUACUUACAACAUUGCUAUGAAUCAAAGGAAAAACAACCACAAACCCUAUACUUAAACGUACCUAAACAGCGGAAUGAAACCAAUUUUGGCCCUGAUUCUAUAACUCUCUAGUCCAGAGCAGUAAUCUGAAACAUAUAACACUAAAAAUCAGUUUUUUCACAUAAUAACAGCCACAAAACAUUCAAAGAGCCACAAAAGCCACAAACACAUUCAAAGAGUAGGCAUAAGCCACAAACUUUCAAAAAGCAUACAUAAGACCACAAAAUAUUCAAAGAGCCAUAAAAGCCACAAACACAUUCAAAGAGUAGGCAUAAGCCACAAACUUUCAAAAAGCAGACAUAAGCCACAAAAGAUUCAAACAGCAGGCAUAAUCCACAAAACAUUCAAAGGGUUUUCGGAAUUGGAGAACAUAACUAUGAAAUUAAUAAGAUAACUUACUAGUAUGAAAUGAAUCGGAAGGCAAAAUCCCAAAUUUGAUAAAUUAGGGUUUCUGUCUUCUGGAUUUUGUUCGACGAACUGCAUAUGAAGCAAUAAACCCAAAAAUUAG